rnacentral:rRNA from 1 species
UGGGGAAUAUUGCACAAUGGGCGCAAGCCUGAUGCAGCAACGCCGCGUGAACGAUGAAGGUCUUCGGAUCUUAAAGUUUUGUUGCAGGGGAAGAUAAUGACGGUACCCUGUGAGGAAGCCCCGGCUAACUACGUGCCAGCAGCCGCGGUAAUACGUAGGGGGCUAGCGUUAUCCGGAUUUACUGGGCGUAAAGGGUGCGUAGGUGGUCUUUCAAGUCGGUGGUUAAAGGCUACGGCUCAACCGUAGUUAGCCUCCGAAACUGGAAGACUUGAGUGCAGGAGAGGAAAGUGGAAUUCCCAGUGUAGCGGUGAAAUGCGUAGAUAUUGGGAGGAACACCAGUAGCGAAGGCGGCUUUCUGGACUGCAACUGACACUGAGGCACGAAAGCGUGGGUAGCAAACAGG